UACGGGGGGGAGCAAACGUUGUUCGGAAUUACUGGGCGUAAAGCGUGCGCAGGCGGUUUUGUAAGCCAGAUGUGAAAUCCCCGGGCUUAACCUGGGAAUGGCAUUUGGGACUGCAAGGCUGGAGUGUGGCAGAGGAGACUGGAAUUCCUGGUGUAGCAGUGAAAUGCGCAGAUAUCAGGAGGAACACCGGUGGCGAAGGCGG
rnacentral:rRNA from 1 species